AGAGUUUGAUCCUGGCUCAGAAUGAACGCUGGCGGCGUGCCUAACACAUGCAAGUCGAGCGAGAAAGUUCCUUCGGGAAUGAGUAAAGCGGCGGACGGUUGAGUAACACGUGAGAAUCUACCCUUUAGUGAAGAAUACCUUCGAGAAAUCGAAAUUAAUACUGCAUAAGUCCCUUCGGGGAGAAAAGUGGCCUCUUUGCUACUGCUAAAGGAUGAGCUUGCGGACUAUCAGCUAGUUGGUGAGGUAAAGGCUCACCAAGGCUAUGACGGUUAGCCGGCCUGAGAGGGUGAACGGCCAGACUGGAACUUAGACACGGUCCAGACUCCUACGGGAGGCAGCAGUGAGGAAUAUUGCGCAAUGGGCGAAAGCCUGACGCAGCGACGCCGCGUGGAGGAUGAAGGUUUUCGGAUCGUAAACUCCUGUUAAGUGGGAAGAAAAGUCUGUGGUUAAUACCCGCAGAAAAUGACGGUACCAUUAUAGAAAGCACCGGCUAACUACGUG
rnacentral:rRNA from 1 species